GACGAACGCUGGCGGCGUGCUUAACACAUGCAAGUCGAACGGAAAGGCCCUGCUUGCAGGGUGCUCGAGUGGCGAACGGGUGAGUAACACGUGGGUGAUCUGCCCCUUACUUUGGGAUAAGCCUGGGAAACUGGGGCUAAUACUGGAUAGGACCAUGCUGCAUGUGGUGUGGUGGGAAGAUUAGUUUCGGUAAGGGAUGAGCUCGCGGCCUAUCAGCUUGUUGGUGGGGUAAUGGCCUACCAAGGCGUCGACGGGUAGCCGGCCUGAGAGGGUGGACGGCCACAUUGGGACUGAGAUACGGCCCAGACUCCUACGGGAGGCAGCAGUGGGGAAUAUUGCACAAUGGGCGCAAGCCUGAUGCAGCGACGCCGCGUGGGGGAUGACGGCCUUCGGGUUGUAAACUCCUUUCAGCCAUGACGAAGCCCUUGUGGUGACGGUAGUGGUAGAAGAAGCACCGGCUAACUACGUG
rnacentral:rRNA from 1 species